UAGAACUUUAAAGAAGAAGUAGUGCCCUCGUAUCAACGUGGCGUUUGUGUCGAACUCGAUAAAGUUAAAAGAAAGAACUAUUCUGUUACGCCAAGGCUUCCAUGUCUUCUCCCUGGACCUCCUCAAUGUCCACCUCUUGAACAUCAGACUCCUAGGCCUCAUCUUCACUGUCGCUUUCCAACCCUGUUGAGGUUAGCUUGUUGUCGGGCUCAAAAAGACUAAAAUUUGCCCAGAUGGCAAACACUUUUUCAACCCUUGUAAUGGUC
ensembl:lncRNA